CAACGACACAAGGAGAUAGUGGAACUCUGUCCAAUGAAAUCUGUGUCUCCCCCUGCUGGUAGCAUGUCUGUGUGCAUGCUGAAGAUCAUCCUGCAGUCUGUGGGGCUGGUCAUCAUGAUCUCUGCUGUCAUCACUGUCCACAUCAGGGACAGAUUCCACUAUGGAUAGAAUCAUGGGGGUGGAUCAGCUUAAUAUUGCGGAAAGAAUGUCGCUUCCA